rnacentral:rRNA from 1 species
AUUGAACGCUGGCGGCAGGCCUAACACAUGCAAGUCGAGCGGUAACACAGAGAGCUUGCUCUCGGGUGACGAGCGGCGGACGGGUGAGUAAUGUCUGGGAAACUGCCUGAUGGAGGGGGAUAACUACUGGAAACGGUAGCUAAUACCGCAUAACGUCGCAAGACCAAAGUGGGGGACCUUCGGGCCUCAUGCCAUCAGAUGUGCCCAGAUGGGAUUAGCUAGUAGGUGGGGUAAUGGCCCACCUAGGCGACGAUCCCUAGCUGGUCUGAGAGGAUGACCAGCCACACUGGAACUGAGACACGGUCCAGACUCCUACGGGAGGCAGCAGUGGGGAAUAUUGCACAAUGGGCGCAAGCCUGAUGUAGCCAUGCCGCGUGUAUGAAGAAGGCCUUCGGGUUGUAAAGUACUUUCAGCGAGGAGGAAGGCGUUAAGGUUAAUAACCUUGGCGAUUGACGUUACUCGCAGAAGAAGCACCGGCUAACUCCGUGCCAGCAGCCGCGGUAAUACGGAGGGUGCAAGCGUUAAUCGGAAUUACUGGGCGUAAAGCGCACGCAGGCGGUCUGUCAAGUCGGAUGUGAAAUCCCCGGGCUCAACCUGGGAACUGCAUUCGAAACUGGCAGGCUAGAGUCUUGUAGAGGGGGGUAGAAUUCCAGGUGUAGCGGUGAAAUGCGUAGAGAUCUGGAGGAAUACCGGUGGCGAAGGCGGCCCCCUGGACAAAGACUGACGCUCAGGUGCGAAAGCGUGGGGAGCAAACAGGAUUAGAUACCCUGGUAGUCCACGCCGUAAACGAUGUCGACUUGGAGGUUGUGCCCUUGAGGCGUGGCUUCCGGAGCUAACGCGUUAAGUCGACCGCCUGGGGAGUACGGCCGCAAGGUUAAAACUCAAAUGAAUUGACGGGGGCCCGCACAAGCGGUGGAGCAUGUGGUUUAAUUCGAUGCAACGCGAAGAACCUUACCUACUCUUGACAUCCAGAGAACUUAGCAGAGAUGCUUUGGUGCCUUCGGGAACUCUGAGACAGGUGCUGCAUGGCUGUCGUCAGCUCGUGUUGUGAAAUGUUGGGUUAAGUCCCGCAACGAGCGCAACCCUUAUCCUUUGUUGCCAGCGGUCCGGCCGGGAACUCAAAGGAGACUGCCAGUGAUAAACUGGAGGAAGGUGGGGAUGACGUCAAGUCAUCAUGGCCCUUACGAGUAGGGCUACACACGUGCUACAAUGGCAUAUACAAAGAGAAGCGACCUCGCGAGAGCAAGCGGACCUCAUAAAGUAUGUCGUAGUCCGGAUUGGAGUCUGCAACUCGACUCCAUGAAGUCGGAAUCGCUAGUAAUCGUAGAUCAGAAUGCUACGGUGAAUACGUUCCCGGGCCU